GUAGCCAUGUUCAAGUCGUUCGCUAGGAAACGUAAUUUUUCUCGUGACGAGCAGUGAGACGGGACGGAAGACGGGAUAAUUAUUGGAUAUUUGACGCCGAGCAUUGGAAUAUUUACGGGAAAAGCAGUUAAGAGAUAAAUAAUCGCAUAAAGGGAGACUCGGCUGGUUACACGAUCAAAGGGGAGUCAGACUCCUGUGGAGCAGCAAAGGAGGAUACGCGAAAUUAACAUAAAUGAUUACGGAAGAUGCUCCCAGAGUUACGCGAGUGAAGUUUGCAUGCGAGCCAGUCGUAAUCGCUUUUGAAAUUGUGGAUGUGAUCUGGAAUUAAUUCUUGGAGGAAGCGUGUGUCGAGGAGAGGAUACUCCGGACCAAUUACCAACACUUCAAAGAGCAUUUUGCCAUCCCGGUAAUCUUCCAGCGCAGGAAAUCUCGAGGAGGAGGAGGAGGAAACGAUGUUGCAUUUCUUGUUUCUUCUCACUUCGCUUCUUCUUUUAUUCCUGGAUCGAAAUGGGUUCUCAAUCGGUGUUAAAGUAAUCGUUUGAGAACCACUUCUUCUACUCCUAGCGAAAUGUCUUUUAAAAACUUGUAGAAAUAUUAAUUAUCCCUUAUUAUACAAAAUUACAUUGCAAUUAAUUAUCCUUAUAACUCCAAUCUGUUUUAAUCAUUACAUCGACCACGCUUGUUCAUCACGCUUGGAAAUCGAUGAAAACGGAAUUUUCCCUCCGAUCUUGAAUAAAAUAUGGAGAGGAGAGAAGGGAUAAAAGGGAAAAAUCAACUUCGAGAAAGAAAUUAAUUAACCAUAAACCGUGGCUCCGAGUCGAGUAUGCAAAUCACGAGGCGAGGCACGUCAUAUAACAACGUAUUAUAUCAACCGAUACGUCGAAUACAUAUUGCUGAAUAUUGUGACAUAAUUUUUACCACCGAAUAUUAACAUUCCUCCGAUAAGACGAGAUGAUGGAGGCAAAACGCACGGAGGCGGAAGCCUCGAUCAAAUACGAAAACGAAUAAAUUCUAAUCUCUGGCGAGAUCUUAUUAGCGGGUACCGUUGCCAAGGAAAUCGGUAGAAAAUGCGCGACCGGGCUUAAGGUCGUUUACACCGAGAGUCAAAGGAGGGAAGAUAGUUGAAAGACGCUUAAAAGCUCGAUCGAAAUUAUUUCAUAUUCAAUUCUUUUCUAAUUCUUCUUCUACGAGAAAAAAUUGAGAUUUCGAGAUUGGAAGGAAAAUCGAGGAGAGGAAGAUUAUUUAAAAAUGAAAGUUGAAAGACGCUUAAAAGCUCGAUCGAAUUUAUUUCAUAUUCAAUCUUUCUAAUUCUUCUUCUACGAGUCGAGAGAAAAAGAAGAGGAACAGUCGAGAUUUCGAGAUUUCGAGGGAAAAUCGAAGACGCUUAAAAGCUCGAUCGAAAUUACUUCAUAUACAAUCUUUCUAAUUCUUUUUCUACGAGUCGAGAGAAAAAGAAGAGGAACAGUCGAGAUUUCGAGGGAGAAUCGAGGAGAGAGAGGUUAUUUAAAAAUGAAAGUUGAAAGACGUUUAAAAGCUCGAUCGAAUUUAUUUCAUAUUCAAUCUUUCUAAUUCUUCUUCUACGAGUCGAGAGAAAAAGAAGAGGAAGUCGAGAUUUCGAGAUUUCGAGGGAAAAUCGAAGACGCUUAAAAGCUCGAUCGAAAUUACUUCAUAUCCAAUCUUUCUAAUUCUUCUUCUACGAGAAAAAGAAGAGGAACAGUCGAGAUUUCGAGAUUUCGAGAGGGAAAAUCGAGGAGAGAGAGGUUAUUUAAAAAUGAAAGUUGAAAGACGCUUAAAAGCUCGAUCGAAUUUAUUUCAUAUUCAAUCUUUCUAAUUCUUCUUCUACGAGAAAAAGAAGAGAUUUCGAGAUUGGAGGAUUGGAAAAUCGAGGAGAGAGAGGUUAUUUAAAAACGUGAAAAAGGUAGCGGUUCGAAAGAAGGAGUUGGAAACCGCAAGGGCGUGCGACCUCGCCGCCAAAUUAUUCAGAUCGUCGACGCGAUUACGAAACAAUCGACCGCCGACUCUCUUUCCGUGCGAAACUUGUCGAUUUCUUUUAUAACUUUCUUUCUGAAAGGGGAAAAGGAGUAAAUUCGAAAUGGAUAAAUGGUAAAUAAAUGGUAGAAAUAUUGCCUGACCCUCUCCUUCUAUAUAUGUUAAAUUCGAUUGCAGGGUAAUUUUUGGAUAGUUGGAUGGUUGGGAGUUGUUUGAGAAGGGGAGGGGAAGCGUGAGAGGCGGAGGAGGAGAGGUUGCAGGAUGGGGAACAAUGGAAGGGGAGAAGGUUCUCAUAGCUCAGGUGCCACGGUCAGAGCAAUUAGCAUUCUAAUAUACAUCUUGAACUUCAUUAGCUGCGCGUUCCUUCCAACUUUUUACCAUCUUCUUAAGAAUCUUCUCGCGAAUCUUCUCUUUUUUCCAUCGAGUUUGAUCAA